rnacentral:misc_RNA from 1 species
AACUUUCAGCAAUGGAUCUCUUGGCUCUCGGAACGAUGAAGAACGCAGCGAAAUGCGAUAAGUAAUGUGAAUUGCAGAAUUCAGUGAAUCGUCGAAUCUUUGAACGCACCUUGCGCCCUUUGGUAUUCCGAAGGGCACACCUGUUUGAGUGUCAUUAAUUCUUCAACCCUGUCAUUUUAUUAAUGGAAUGGCAAUGGUUGGAUGCUGAGUGUUGCUGGAUUUUCAGUUCAGCUCACUUUAAAUUUAUGAGCAGGCUCCUAUCGUUUUCGGACUGACUCAACGUAAUAAGAAAUUUCGUUGAGGACGCUUGACUGCGGCCGAAUUGUAGGGAAAUGCCGCUACUAGUUGACCCUUAUAUUUUAGACCUCAAAUCAGGUGGGACUACCCGCUGAACUUAAGCAUAUCAAUAAGCGGAGGCU